rnacentral:rRNA from 1 species
AACGCGAAGAACCUUACCAGGUCUUGACAUACUCAUAAAGGCUCCAGAGAUGGAGAGAUAGCUAUAUGAGAUACAGGUGGUGCAUGGUUGUCGUCAGCUCGUGUCGUGAGAUGUUGGGUUAAGUCCCGCAACGAGCGCAACCCUUAUCGUUAGUUACCAUCAUUAAGUUGGGGACUCUAGCGAGACUGCCAGUGACAAGCUGGAGGAAGGCGGGGAUGACGUCAAAUCAUCAUGCCCCUUAUGACCUGGGCUACACACGUGCUACAAUGGAUGGUGCAGAGGGAAGCGAAGCCGCGAGGUGAAGCAAAACCCAUAAAACCAUUCUCAGUUCGGAUUGUAGUCUGCAACUCGACU